UUGCCCAGGGUCAUUGACCAGGUUGGAAGAUCGUUAUGUAGGUCAGGGUCAGAAUGUCAUCAUUAAGAGCAGGUAUCAAGUCUCCUGGCCAGUUGGGAGGACAGAAGGCUAAUGACUAUGCCAGGAAGCAGAAGACCAUUGACCAGGACAGGAAGCACAAGACCAGGUCUGGGCUCACCUGCACAAACGUCAUGAACACCUUGUCCACGUCGGGCCGCUCUUCCCGGUCUACCUUCACACUGAUGAAGUCCUCACUGAGCAGGCGGCCAAUCUCCUCGUUCUGGAAGGACUCCUCCUCCAUCAUGUGGCACCAGUGGCAGAUCAAACAACAGAAGUUAUCCCCAUCUUACAGAUAAGGAAACUGAAGUUCAAAGAGUUGGUUAUCCAGGUCACACAGCUUGGAAGGGGCACAAUAGAUGGUAUCUGACCCCAGUCUGUGCAACCACCAUGCCAUCCUAGCGAUGGUUAAUUAAUAAAUUGAAUGGCAAAUGUAUAAUAACAUUAUAUUUGAGCUAACUUGAGCAGUGCUUGCUAUGUGGGGGCAUUAUAUCUUGCACAUUACACUCCUUAUCUUGCUGGUCCUCAUAACAUCCCUCCAAGAUAAAUACUAUUCACCAUGGUUCACGGUUGCAAAGCCAAGGUUGGACUCUGGCCACCUCCCUGUCCCAGCCACACUCUCGGGGCUCACUCACAGGUGUAGGAGGAUGGAGAACCCCGCUCACCGCGGCGGCUGAAGCCCAGCUGCCCGCUGCCGAUGCCUGCGCCCUCCAGGGCCAUGCGCUCCUUGGUCUUAAGGGCAUGAGUUCGCUCCUGCCGCAGGCGCUCCUCGUCCUUGAGCAGGGCCAUCACCUGCUUGACCUUCUCGCGCACGUUGACGCCCUGGUCCUUGCCAUCGCGGUCGAUGUACUGGAAGUCUUUGAGCGUCUGGAUGGUGUAGAGGUUCUCGCGGCACUGGUGCGCCACGCGCUCGGAGCCAGUCUUGAGCAGAUAGUCCAGCAGCGUCAGCGCCUUGUACACGUGCCGCCAGUUCUUGCCACUGUCGUUGAGCCGACGCCACAGCAUGCCCAUGACCUCGGCGAAGGCCACCGUGUUGAAGGUCAGGUCGGCGAUCUCCGACAUAAGGGAGCUGGGUGGACCCCAGGGGUCAUUGCUAGUAGCCUCGCGCACUUUGAUCUCCGCCUCGGAGUAAUUGUGCACGAUGUUCUUCACUUGGCGGCGGAGCGCAGAGGUCGUCAUGGCUGGAGACUUGGAGGUGGGCGGCCCCCGCCCCCGUUGGAGGUGGAGGGCCGAGGUCCACCGUCGUGAGGUCACGGUCUUGAAGGGCGAGCCGCCGUGCUCUCAGCAGGGCGGCUGUGUCCUUGGGUCCCACAUGGGGCUGAGGAAGAGAAGGUCUGGAAUUCAGGAUCAGUGCUCCCCUCCCAAGGGUCACUCAGCACUGACAAAGGCCUAGCCAGAGUGUUCCAGCUGGUGGGAACAGCCGUCAGUGGACACUCACUUUUAUUUUUCUUAUUUUACUUAUUAUUCAGCAGGUAUUUGUAGCUUGGCAUACCCAUCUACACAACCACACCAGAGAUGCCAUGAUAACUAUCUCCACUCAUGCAUGGGGAUAGUGAGACUCAGAGAGGAAUUCCAUGGCUUGUCCAAAAUCACAGAGCUGCUAAGUGGGGGGCCAGGAGGACCCAGAGUGGCCUCAGCGAGGACCUUAACAUGACUGCUGUGAUGCCCACUCCCUUGCCUCGCUCCUGAUUGGCUCCCUCUGAGGAGGAUCUUGCUCACAGCUUUCCUGCCUUCUUUGUUCACUCUCCUCUUUUCCUCCUAUGCUGAUUUUUAUAGUUUGAUUCAUUCAGCACCUGGUUCCUGGGACCUUCCCUGGGUCAGGCCCUACACCAAACUCAGUGUGUUGGUUCACCCACAUUUGGUUGUAAGGGUAUAGAUGAUCACAGUCCAGUGCAGGCAUGCACAGAAGCACAGAAGAUGCAUGCAAGGAAAAUCUGAGGAGACUUCUUGGAGGAGGUGGUGGCUGAGCCAAGAUCCGGGACCCAAAGGGAAGGAGGAGAAGAAGCUGAAGGGGGAACCAGAGAGAAGGCAAAGGAAAGGAGCUUGUAGGGGUAGCUGUGUCUCUCAGAGACCUAGCCACCACUACCCCCUGCCACCCCCAGAGGCCAGAGAGGGGAUGUGACCUGCUCACAUCACAUGGUGUGUGGUUGGAGGGCUUGGGGCUGACAUCUACAUUUCCAUAAGAUUAAUCUGGUACUUAUUGUCACUGUUACUAAAUUGGUAAUUAAUGAAUCUGAAUAUUUUACUAUCUCAGUUCCAUUUUCUCAGCCAAAAUAGAAGUUCCCUGAAGGCAGGGACAAUUCAGGCUUUCAAACUCCCAAGGCCCUGGGUACAUAGAAGACCUCUAAUAGCAAAGCACAGGGAGGAACAGGGCUAGCCUUCCUCUCUUGCCCCAGCCUCAGGGCCAGGCCCAAGACAGAAAAAUUCUCUCAAGGCUCUAUCAGAAACCAAAGAGGAACCUCUCUGCCACCUCCCUUCCUCUGGCACUGGUACAGGGACAAGGCACAUGCACUGGCUGAGCUUGUAGAACCUCCGCUUCCCCCAUGACAUCCUGAUAGCCAUGGAGAUCACACCUCCCAACAUCACCCUCCACCCCAGCCUGGCUGUGUGUCAACUGGUCCCCAGAUUGCCAAAGACAGGACUCAGAAGGCUGUCCUGCUCCCAGGGCCCUCAAAGCCACUCUCCUUCCAUCCCAGUGCUGAGCUCAGUCCAAAACACCCCACAGGCCUUGGCAAGUCCUGUCAGGGCCCAGGUGCCUCAGAGGGCAUGGCCCCGAGGAUCUGAUCCUGUGGGAGUCAGGAAAGAAGAAGUGUGGCUGGCCCAAAGUGCUGCCUACCUUCUGUCUGUCUUUCUGUCCAGCUGGUAGUAGGCCUUCUGUGGGGAUGCUAUGGCCUCAACUUGUUUAACUCCUGCCCUCCCCCUUGCUAGUGACUCAGACCUGUCUUUACCUCCCCAAAGGGCGGGGCAGGCCAGCAGUGGCAGAGUCAAGAUGGGAAAUAAUUGUGCACAGAAGCUGGCCCCAGUGCAUGCCCCUCCCUGCUGGCCAAUGGAACUAGCAGAACCAGUCUGGUAUCCUGAUUCCACCAGAGCCCUACCUGGGCCUGGCUGCUCCAGCCUUUCUUCCGGUCUUAGUGGGAGGGGGACCUCCUGGUGUGGCCGGGCAACCCUGCCUGGACUUUUCUUCUAGGAGGAAGCUCUGGGGCAGCUGUGUGCUGGGGGCACUGGAGUGGGCUGAGGGUCACCCUGGGGCUAGACGUGCAGCAGGAACCGAGGAAGAAGGACCAGCAGAGAUGUGCCAGAAUUUGUGAGGAGUGCCACCAAAGAUGCUAGAUGCCACCAAAGACAUUAAUCCCGGGAUGGAGAGGGAGACCCUGAGUCUUUCCCGGGGGUGACUCGGAGGGGCAGAGGACACAGACUCUGGCCAGCGCGCAGCACUCAGGAGGAAAGUUGCUCGGCUGGCCGGGCAGGUCUGCCUCAGCAGUAACAGGACACAGGAGGACGCAGGGCAGGCGGUGUGUUAACCCCUUCCUGCUGCCUCCAGGAGGGCGGGGCAUUCGGAGACAGUCCUGCCUGCUGGUGAUCCCCCAGGGUGCGGAUCUGGAGCCUGGGACCCAACCCAUCCCACAACCCCAUCGAUCAUCAGAAAUCUCAGUAACGUCACCAGCAGCAAUUCUGAUCAAAUGAGAUCCGGAGUGUUACUACAGUGCACAGUGAUGUAAGCCUCACUCCCAACUGUCCACAUCAGAGGAAGAGAAAGCACCACUACAGACUCGCUGACACAGCCAGCUGGCUUUGUGGCCGUCCCUUCCAAGCAACAAUAACAAAAAAGAAAACAACCUAGAACCUAGGACCCACUGCUUAAAAACAGAUCACGAUGAAGGCUUUCCUGUGGAUGUACCCUUGCUACAGUGUGAAUGUGACCUGUCCCCUCUGAAAUUUGAUUCCCAGUGUAAAGGUGUUGAGAUUGGUGGGACUUAAGUCACUAGACUCCACCCUCGAGAAGCAUAAUGUCUUCAGGAGCAUGAGAGUUCUAAGCCCAAUAUGGCGGUGCCUGUGAUCCCAACUGCCUAGAAGACUGAGGCAGGAGGAUCACAAGUUGGAGGCCAGCCUCAGCAACUUAGGAAGACCCUGUCUCAAUUUUUUUUUUUUUUUUUUUAAUAAAAGGGGCUAUGGAUGCAGCUCAGUGGUAGAAUGCUUGCCUAGUGUGAGCAAAAGCCCUGGGUUUAAUUCCCAGUACUGGGGGGUGGGUGAGCUCUCUUGGGACUGGAUUAGUUAUAAAUGAGACACCUGUGUUUUGCCCUCUUGCCCUUUGGCUUUCCACCAUGAGUUGAAGCAGCAAGGCCCUUGCUGGCACCAGGUUCUUAGACUGCCCAGUCUUCAGACUGUGAAUCAAAAAUGAACCUUUUUCUUUGUAA